AAGCAGGAGGUGUCAGAAAAGUUACCAGAGGGAUAACUGGCUUGUGGCGGCCAAGCGUUCAUAGCGACGUUGCUUUUUGAUCCUU
rnacentral:miRNA from 1 species